GAUGAACGCUGGCGGCGUGCCUAAUACAUGCAAGUCGAGCGAACAGACGAGGAGCUUGCUCCUCGGACGUUAGCGGCGGACGGGUGAGUAACACGUGUAUAACCUACCUAUAAGACUGGGAUAACUUCGGGAAACCGGAGCUAAUACCGGAUAAUAUAUUGAACCGCAGGGUGCAAUAGUGAAAGACGGUGUUGCUGUCACGUAUAGAUGGAUCCGCGCCGCAUUAGCUAGUUGGUAAGGUAACGGCUUACCAAGGCAACGAUGCGUAGCCGACCUGAGAGGGUGAUCGGCCACACUGGAACUGAGCCACGGUCCAGACUACUACGGGAGGCAGCAGUAGGGAAUCUUCCGCAAUGGGCGAAAGCCUGACGGAGCAACGCCGCGUGAGUGAUGAAGGUCUUCGGAUCGUAAAACUCUGUUAUUAGGGAAGAACAAAUGUGUAAGUAACUAUGCACGUCUUGACGGUAACUAAUCAGAAAGCCACGGCUAACUACGUG
rnacentral:rRNA from 1 species